rnacentral:rRNA from 1 species
GAGUUUGAUCCUGGCUCAGAUUGAACGCUGGCGGUAUGCUUAACACAUGCAAGUCGAACGGUAACAGGUCGCUGUGAUCUCUUCGGAGUGAACUUGACGCUGACGAGUGGCGGACGGGUGAGUAAUACUUAGGAAUCUACCCAGUAGUGGGGGACAACACGACGAAAGUCGUGCUAAUACCGCAUACGCCCUAAGGGGGAAAGUGGAGGAUCUUCGGACUUCACGCUAUUGGAUGAGCCUAAGCCGGAUUAGCUUGUUGGUAGGGUAAUGGCCUACCAAGGCAACGAUCCGUAGCUGGUCUGAGAGGACGAUCAGCCACACUGGGACUGAGACACGGCCCAGACUCCUACGGGAGGCAGCAGUGGGGAAUAUUGGACAAUGGGCGCAAGCCUGAUCCAGCAAUACCGCGUGUGUGAAGAAGGCCUGCGGGUUGUAAAGCACUUUCAGUAGGGAAGAAAAGCUUAGGGUUAAUACUCCUGGGUCUUGACGUAACCUACAGAAGAAGCACCGGCUAACUCCGUGCCAGCAGCCGCGGUAAUACGGGGGGUGCAAGCGUUAAUCGGAAUUACUGGGCGUAAAGCGCGCGUAGGCGGUCUGGUCAGUCGGAUGUGAAAGCCCUGGGCUCAACCUGGGAAUUGCAUUCGAUACUGCCCGACUAGAAUGUGGAAGANGGAAGUGGAAUUUCCGGUGUAGCGGUGAAAUGCGUAGAUAUCGGAAGGAACACCAGUGGCGAAGGCGGCUUCCUGGUCCAACAUUGACGCUGAAGUGCGAAGCGU